rnacentral:rRNA from 1 species
AGCUUUUUGAUUUUAUAAAAAGUGAAUUCUGCCCAGUGAUAUUCAUUUAACGGCCGCAGUACACUGACUGUGCUAAGGUAGCAUAAUAAAUUGGCUUUUAAUUGGAGUCGGGUAUGAAAGGAACUAUGAAAAUAAACUGUCUAAAUAAUAGGAAAAUAUAAGUUACUUAAAAGGUGAAAAUACCUUUAAAUUUAUGUUAGACGAAAAGACCCUAAGAAUUAUAAUUAAUAUAAAUAAUAUUAUUUACAAUAUUUUUGUUGGGGCAACAAAUUCAGAAAUUAAAUAACUGAUUAAUUAUCUUAAUAAAUACAGGACAAAUAUUAUUAAUUAUGAAUUUAAUUACCUUAGGGAUAACAGCAUAAUGUUUUUAAAAGAUUGUGACCUCGAUGUUGGACUAGGGACUAUAAUAGUAAGCCAUUAUUAUAGAUAGUUCUGUUCGAACUUUUUGACCCU